rnacentral:rRNA from 1 species
AGUGAACGCUGGCGGUAGGCCUAACACAUGCAAGUCGAACGGCAGCACAGUAAGAGCUUGCUCUUACGGGUGGCGAGUGGCGGACGGGUGAGGAAUACAUCGGAAUCUACUUUUUCGUGGGGGAUAACGUAGGGAAACUUACGCUACUACCGCAUACGACCUACGGUUGAAAGCAGGGGAGCUUUGGCCCUUGCGCGAUUGAAUGAGCCGAUGUCGGAUUAGCUAGUUGGCGGGGUAAAGGCCCACCAAGGCGACGAUGCGUAGCUGGUAUGAGAGGAUGAUCAGCCACACUGGAACUGGGACACGGUCCAGACUCCGACGGGAGGCAGCAGUGGGGAAUAUUGGACAAUGGGCGCAAGCCUGAUCCAGCCAUACCGCGCGGGUGAAGAAGGCCUUCGGGUUGUAAAGCCCUUUUGUUGGGAAAGAAAAGCAGCAGGUUAAUACCCCGCUGUUCUGACGGUACCCAAAGAAUAAGCACCGGCUAACUUCGUG